rnacentral:rRNA from 1 species
GACGAACGCUGGCGGCGUGCUUAACACAUGCAAGUCGAACGGAAAGGCCCUGCUUGCAGGGGACUCGAGUGGCGAACGGGUGAGUAACACGUGGGUGAUCGGCCCUGCACGUCGGGAUAAGCCUGGGAAACGGGGCCUAAAACCGGAUAGGAGCGAGGGUGAGUGUGAGGGUUGGAAAGUUUUUUCGGUGUAGGAUGAGCUCGCGGCCUAUCAGCUUGUUGGUGGGGUAAUGGCCUACCAAGGCGGCGACGGGUAGCCGGCCUGAGAGGGUGGACGGCCACCUUGGGUCUGAGAUACGGCCCCGGCUCCUACGGGAGGCAGCAGUGGGGAAUCUUGCACCAUGCGCGCCAGCCUGAUGCAGAGACGCCGCGUGUGGGAUGACGGCCUUCGGGUUGUAGACUCCUUUCGCUAGGGACGCAGCUUUUUGUGACGGUACCUAGAGAAGAAGCACCGGCUAACUACGUG